AGUCAGUCCCAGUCAAGACACAGCAUGGACAUGAGGGUCCCCGCUCAGCUCCUGGGGCUCCUGCUGCUCUGGCUCCCAGGUACCAGAUGUGACAUCCAGAUGACCCAGUCUCCGUCCUCCCUGUCUGCAUCCGUAGGAGACAAAGUCACCAUCACUUGCCAGGCAAGUCAAGGUAUUAACAGCUGGUUAGCCUGGUAUCAGCAGAAACCAGGGAAAGCUCCUAGGCUCCUGAUCUAUGCUGCAUCUAGUUUGCAAACUGGGAUUCCCUCUCGGUUCAGUGGCAGUGGAUCUGGGACACACUACACUCUCACCAUCAGCAGCCUGCAGCCUGAUGAUUUUGCCACUUAUUACUGUCAACAAACUUAUAGUACUCCUCCCACAGUGUUUCAAGUCAUAACAUAA